GACAGAGGUGCCAAGCGUAGGCGGAAUCACUGGGCUUAAAGCGUGUGUAGGCGGGCGGGCAAGUACCUUGUGAAAUCCCACGGCUCAACCGUGGAACGGCUGGGUAUACUGCCUGUCUUGAGCCAGCUAGGGGCGACCGGAACAGACGGUGGAGCGGUGAAAUGCGUAGAUAUCGUCUGGAACGCCAAAGGUGAAAACAGGUCGCUGGGGCUGAGCUGACGCUGAGACACGAAAGCCAGGGGAGCGAACGGG
rnacentral:rRNA from 1 species